rnacentral:lncRNA from 1 species
GUAAUGACCGCUCGGUGCUCCAUGGCUCGAGAAUUGUCGGGAUGAAGAAGACCCUUGUAUUUCACAGUGGCCGUGCUCCGGGUGGCCAGCGGACCAAUUGGAUAAUGCAUGAGUACAGGCUUGUGGAUGAUGAAUUGGUGAAAGCCUUGCGGGUGAGACUCUAAAUCAAUGCCUGUAUCUGUCGUAUUUCUUCACGCUUUGCUUGGUUGUUGAGAAAAUGCAAGAAAAGAAAAGGAACAAAAGUCAUUUACGGACUUAUUUGAUAGUGAAAAAUGAACUAAUUUUUUCAAAAAUGAUCAGAAAAUAACGAAACGGGACAGUUUCUGGAUCUACUUAAAAAAAAAAUUGUAUCUUUCAAAUCACGGAAAAUAAUAUUUUAAAUUUUUUGAAAAUGAACUAGUCUUUGAAAUGUGUUGCCAAUUAUGUUUUAGUUGUUAUUUUAUUUUUUUCCAUCUUCAACAUGAAGGAAACAUUUUUAUUUCCGUGGCCAAACAAGUUGAGAACUUUUUCAAUCUUAUACUUUCCAUUGUUUGGUACUGAUGGAAAAAAAAAAAAAAAGGAUCUUUUUUCGGUUGGCAAUUGUACCAUCAUUUAGUUUAUUUGAGUUGAUUCUUCCUUUUCUUUUUCCUUUUUUUUUUGUAACUACAAAAACGAUUUAAACGUAAGAUUCAAAAUUUCUCUCUUUUGUUUUUUUCCAUCAGUUUUCUUGGCAAUCAAAUUGAGGCAAUUGUUUUCUUUGGGAUUUAUAAAUCUCGUGUUAAUCAUUUGUAGCUUGUUCUUUUUUGGUGGGUAAGGAUUCAUACGUGGUGUGUAGAGUUUUUCUUAAGAGUGAAAUAGGUCCUCCCCACAAAGACCGUUAUGCCCCCUUUAUUGAGGAGGAAUGGGAUGAUGACAAGACAGGCUCGUCUCAGGGAGGAAAAUCUGUAGAUGAAGCUAUAGUUGAUAGCAAGGCAUGUAUUGAAGAGAGUGAUCUUGAGCAGGUAUGUGUCUAUCCUCACAUUUCAAACAUUUUACCCCAAUUGAACUUAUAUGAUAAUGGAUAAAUUCUUCUGAGCUGUACUGAUGAGAAAUCAUUUUGCCAAGCUGUUAUUAGCUGCAAUUUUUUUCUCGGGGUGUUUUGAAUGUUUCUCCAAUUUUGAAUCAACAAACUAGAGGAUAAGAAUUAAAGAAAACCCUUCUCUUUGAAAGUGAACAUCAACCCUAGAAUUUCUCCUUUAUCUUGUGGCACUGAUAUGGUUCUUUGAAAAUUUUUUGACCCUUUAAAGGAUUUAUUUUUCAGUGGCUUAAGCAUCAAUUGGAAACUCCACAUUCUUUUUACUGUUCAUGUUGAAGCUUUCUAGCCCCUUUUUAAUGAACAAGAUUCCUAUAUUUUUUAUUCUUUCGGGAAAAAAAAGCACAAACUACCUGAAUUCGAACUAUUUCUCCCCCUUGUUUGCCAUUUUGAAUUUUUUUUGGUUGGUUGGGGGCCAUAACUAAAGUCGCAUUCAUCACAUGCGUCUGUUUGAUUCAUUGAAACCACGUAGAUUACCCAUUUAACCAGGAAAUUGCCUUUAUAAUUGAUUUGUUUAUUGCACUACACUACUAAAUGGUGAUUGUGCUCUUUCAACAUUGCUUAUAUCAGGUGUUACAUUUACUCUAUCUACUUUAACAUAUGGUUGAAUUUUUGAACAUGUAUCCAAGAAAUGCAUCUUACUUUUUGGUUUAUUGUUGCAGGAUGCUCAAUCCACUACACUUAGGCAAAGUGAGCAUCUAAAAAACUCUGGAAGUGUUUUAUCUCUUUCCCCGAGUGAGAGGUUGGAGGAUUGCCCCUUGACAUGUACUGUUAAUAAAGAGUCGACGAUUUUUCCUAAUAAAAGAUCAAGGCAUGAUGAUCUGAAUCCUCAACAUUCAGAUGCUUCAGAAAGCUCACUGAUGACCAUUCAAGAAUGUACAAUAACAAAAAAAAGUUCUCCACCUUCUAUCUUUGGAUUUCCCCUUGUGGAACUUAAUGGGAAGAAAGAAUGUCAAAUUAAAAAGGAACUUCCUACAGCUCCGUCCGGUACAUUUGUGGAACUUAAUGGGAAGAAAGAGAGCCAAAUCAAAAAGGAAAUUUCUACAGCUCCUCACUCUGCUACAGUGGUGGAACUUAAGGGGAUGAAAGAAAGUGAGAUAAAAAACGAAGUUUCUAGAACUCCCCCAGCCACGUUUGAUAUCAGUGAUGGUAAUGCAACUUUGCCUCCCAGCUAUUUGAAGUAUAUUACUUACUUGGAAGAUAAGGUCCGUGAAAUGUCUGCUGAGAGGGAAAGAUUGAAAGCUGAUAUGAUGCAGGCCGAGUCCAUUGUUAAUGCUUACAAAUCUCGAAUUGAUAUAACCCUAAACAACGGAAAUGAGGACUGAGAACUGCCAGAUGUGGGUAGCAAUGGACGUGGCCAAUGCUAUACAUAAUUUUCCCUUAUUUUCUGUCAUUGGCUAAUGGUAGGGCCCUGUCCAUCAAUUUAGUUGUGAAUACAACUCAACCUUCCCCAAAAUUACGAAAUAGAACAUUCUGUUGCUGCCCACUCUACUGUUGUUUUAGGAAUGUGAAAUAGUUUGGAUUUCAUUCCUCGGAAGCUUUAAAUUAGAAAUGGUCUUGUUGUAAGGUACGGACCUAUAAUGGAAAUUUCAUGGGAAAGGGUGGGGGAUCAGCGUCAUUCACACUAGAGGGCCACCCUUUUUUCUUUUUCUUUUCCUUUUCCUUUUCAUUUUCAUCAGAUGUUGUUUUGCAGGUUGAAUGAGUGAGUGGUUGGUUGGUUAUAGAUUAGGUGAUUGAUAUUAUUGCUAGUGCUUAAGAAGUAAGGUUUUACCUGGGAAAGCUUACUUUAUAGUAUUGGAGAAAUGCGCCAGCAGCAAGUUGCUUUUGAGCCGUCCGCUCCAAGUUACUUGCUAGUUAAGGAACUUGAUGGUGAUGUGUUUAUGCACGGGGGGACAAAGUUGGAAUAAAUAGCUGACAGGCAGGGGUGGAAGCUUUCGCAGUCUUUAUCAAUUUUUCCUUUUCUCCUUCUUUACCUUGCAACAUAAUCCGAAGCCUGGGAGGGAAGGUCACGAGAGUCCUGGUUUGUUUAGGGAUUGGAUCAUGCCUACUCACAUGGUAACUAAUUUUGCGGUGCUCUUUAGGAUCGUUUAUAUAGAAUUGGGAAAUCCUAGCUUGCCAUUAGUUUAUGAGCAUGAAAGCAAAAUUCCAGACUUAGGUUAUAAUGACGUAUCAGAUUGAUAUAAAAUAGGGAAAAAAUCUAAUGAGAUUGAUAUAAAAUAGGGAAACGUGCUUGUUUGAGUACAAGAUAAAAAUAAAUAUUCAUCAGUCCUAUCAUCAACUAUGAAUAGGAAAAUCCGUCUUGUAGUCGAGUCUUUUUAGGUGAUUAUUCAUAAUUUUUUUAUUCUUUUUUCACUGGUCACCUGAAUUUUCCAAUAAUGAUAUAUAUAGAUUUUAAAUAAAAUUAUUUUAAAUCAUAUGCUAUUUUUAUUUAUAAAAUUUGCUCGAAAUUUUGGAAGAUUUUAGAUUAUUAUUAUUUUUAUUUAUGGUAUUAAUUUCAAUUUUUGGGUAAGAAUUUCUAAAAAAGAAUUGACUUAGAAUUUGUUGGAAAUAUAAAAGAGCAUUUUUGUUAUUGGGCAUUUGUUAAUUUAUAAUAGUAAAUUAAUUUUUUUAUUUAAAUUAGAAGAUUUGGAUAAAUCGAUUUAAUUGUCAAGCCUAGGGCUUGUGGAAAUUUUCAAUGAUAAGUUUAGUUUUAGUUUUGAUGAAAAUUUGAAUUUGAAAAUCAUAACCAAUUAACAAUCAUUUAAAGAUAAUCUUAAUUUAAUAAAUUUAAAAAUAUUAAAAAAAGGCAAAGAUAUUUCUAAUUUUUAAAAAAAUUAAAAUUAAUAGUGGAGGUGGUGUUGUAUUAGAACUUGGAAGAUUCCAGCCCAUUUGAUUUUUCCCGUGACGGACGCAUAUACGUCACCACACCGUAACGGUGUAACUCCAAAAGUCCAAACGUAUACAAAAAUCUGUAGCCGUUCAUGUCCACAGUCAAGUGGACCCCACAGGACUCAUCUUCCGCCACGUGACAGCGGGUGAAAUUCACAAGUCACCGUUAGGCUCACAAUAAAUUUACUCCGCCCUUCUCACUUUCCCGGAAACAUCUUAAUAUAUUUGUCGUGCGCCUGAGCCAACGAUACAUUUCCCAGGAACGACUUGACCAAAUGGCCUACCCAGUCCUUUUCUGCUUUCGAUCAAAACCCUAACCCUAAUUUUAUUUAUUACUCUAUUCAAAAUCCGUCUUUCAGUUCAAUUCUUGAAGAUCCGUCUGUUAUGGGACGUGAAUCAGCGGCAUCCUUGGCUCCGGGUUUCCGAUUUCACCCCACCGAUGAGGAACUUGUGUGGUACUACCUCAAGCGCAAGGUCUGUGGCAAGCUCUUCCGAUUCGACACAAUCUCCGAAAUCGACAUCUACAAGUCCGAGCCUUGGGACCUCCCAGGUUUGUCUCUCUUAUUCUGAUGAAUUUCUUGAUAUCACGUCUUUUCCCCUGUCUUUUAUCUUUCUGAAUCUUUAGCUUUUCUUCUAGGUCCGGCCGCCAGAGCUUUCUUCCUAAAUUGAUUUUGGUCUUUGAAUUCUGGUAUUUUUUUGGGUGGUGUUUUAGGUCAGUCCAAGCUGAAGAGUAGGGACCUGGAAUGGUAUUUCUUCAGUGUGCUGGACAAGAAGUAUGGGAACGGGUCGAGGACGAAUCGCGCCACGGACAGAGGGUACUGGAAGACCACGGGCAAGGACCGGGAGGUUCGUCACAGAGCCCGAACCGUUGGGAUGAAGAAAACCCUUGUGUAUCACAGUGGGCGAGCUCCUCGUGGGGAGCGGACUAAUUGGGUGAUGCAUGAGUACAGGCUUAUGGAUGAAGAAUUGAAGAAAACAGGCGUGGC